GAAAAACACUGCAGCUGAGUCACCCGGUGUGUCGGGAACCUGCGUCAGGGAGAGUCAUGAGCAUGGGGUGGCUUCAGAGAUGGAGUGGGGCCUUAAUUAGGCCCGGAAGGAUGAGCUGGUGGAUAAGUUGGACAGGACAUUCCAGGCAGGCACUUGGUCUAGAGGUGGGCUGAUCAUUUCUAAAUGGCAGAACCCUGACAAACGUGAGACUGAGAGUCCACAGAGGGGCACGUGGGGCUGAGCUGAGAGGCCCCCAGGGCCAGCAUCCUGGCCCAUGCCUUAUGGAAGGCCAGACUAGAAGCCCUGGGCCAGCCCCAGGAAAUAGGAAGUUUCCAGGCCGUGGACCUCCUGUGCCCCUCAGGGUGGGGGCCAUGGAAGAGCUCCUCUUUGUUGCAGGGAGGGGAAGUCUGUACCCCAAAAAGGUCUUCCCAUAAUCCUGGAGCUGGGAGUGUGCUCGAUGCACCAAUGGCAAAUGGUGUGCAGCAAACGCGCUCCGUUCCUGGCACUCUUACCACUGUCAAGAGAGGGACCCCAGAACUCAGGAGGCAGCCACCAGCAAUCAGCAGGAGCUGGCAGGGGAGGCAGACGGGCCUCCGUCUCUCUCCCAUUUCUUAAAUUGGCAGAUGAAUGAUCUGCAGGGAAUGGUCUGUCCUGAGUCGCAAGUCCCAGACCUUGGGAGUCCUUCCAGGGGUGCACACUGCCCCCUAAGGAGCUGGUGCACGAGGUGCAAGCUGGGGCCCUGUGGGGAGGGCUCCAGAGUGAGGUAGGACCUUCAUCCCUUCAGCCUCUCCAAAUA
ensembl:lncRNA novel transcript